GAUGAAGAACGUAGUGAAAUGCGAUAAGUAAUGUGAAUUGCAGAAUUCAGUGAAUCAUCGAAUCUUUGAACGCACAUUGCGCCCGCCAGUAUUCUGGCGGGCAUGCCUAUUCGAGCGUCAUUUCAACCAUCAAGCCCCCGGCUUGUGUUGGGGACCUGCGGCUGCCGCAGGCCCUGAAAAGCAGUGGCGGGCUCGCUGUCACACCGAGCGUAGUAGCAUACAUCUCGCUCUGGGCGUGCUGCGGGUUCCGGCCGUUAAACCACCUUCAUAACCCAAGGUUGACCUCGGAUCAGGUAGGAAGACCCGCUGAACUUAAGCAUAUCAAUAAGCGGAGGA
rnacentral:misc_RNA from 1 species